rnacentral:lncRNA from 1 species
ACAGGAGAAGAAUGGGCUGGGUGAGAGGACAAACAGGAGAACAAAAAAGGAAAGAAAAGCAAAGAAAAGCCCUCCCCGGGUCCAGCGGGAUCAGGCCUGGAGGACUGUGGCUCGGCCCCGAGGCCAGAUGCUCAGGAGUAGUGCUGCAUCCACAGGGCGGGAAAGGGACAGGACAGGUGACACCCGGCUGCGGACCCCCCAAGGGGUCCGACGGCCACUGUUGGCUAAGAGCCCUCCAGUGAUCAAGAGGUAGGGGAAGGAAGAGGCUGGAGGCGCAGGCGUCCUGGUGGUAUCCCCAGGACCCGGCGCUGCUCUAAUGGGCCUGUCUCCCUGGCCCAUCCGGGUACCCAGAAUUGGGGUGGUCCUGAGUGGGAUCCGUAUCCCGAAGCAGCCUGCGCGCCCGAGCUGGCGAGCGGGUAGGCGACCUUGGGAGCCGCCGGCCUGCCAGAUGCUCAGCAAUGAUUGUUCUGGUGGACCUCUGUCAUGUCUACUCUCCUCUACAUCUCCUCUUCCCAAACCCCUGUCUUCCCUUCAGGCUUUGAAGAUACCCCAUUACCAUCUUCUAUUAAUGAGUCUUCUGGAAGACCACGCCCUUGUUUUAAAGAUAGAAAGACGGAGGCACAUGGGCAUAAUGGCUCUCCUGUGAUUCCACGGCCAGUCAACGCUAGCACCAACAUUAGAAGCCAUGUCUAUGCCACACCGCCUUUAACGACAACAUGGACCCAGAUACUCCCCCCAAAAGAGCCAACAAGAAAGUAAAGUUUGCCAGC